GAUGAAGAACGCAGCGAAAUGCGAUAAGUAAUGUGAAUUGCAGAAUUCAGUGAAUCAUCGAAUCUUUGAACGCACAUUGCGCCCGCCAGUAUUCUGGCGGGCAUGCCUGUCUGAGCGUCAUUUCAACCCUCAUGCCCCUAGGGCGUGGUGUUGGGGAUCGGCCAAAGCCCGCGAGGGACGGCCGGCCCCUAAAUCUAGUGGCGGACCCGUCGUGGCCUCCUCUGCGAAGUAGUGAUAUUCCGCAUCGGAGAGCGACGAGCCCCUGCCGUUAAACCCCCAACUUUCCAAGGCUGACCUCAGAUCAGGUAGGAAUACCCGCUGAACUUAAGCAUAUCAAUAAGCGGAAGA
rnacentral:misc_RNA from 1 species